rnacentral:rRNA from 1 species
UACGAAGGGUGCAAGCGUUACUCGGAAUUACUGGGCGUAAAGCGUGCGUAGGUGGUUUGUUAAGUCUGUUGUGAAAGCCCCGGGCUCAACCUGGGAAUGGCAGUGGAUACUGGGAGGCUAGAGUGUGUCAGAGGAUGGUGGAAUUCCCGGUGUAGCGGUGAAAUGCGUAGAGAUGUGGAGGAACACCAGUGGCGAAGGCGACUCUUUGGUCUGUAACUGACGCUGAGGCGCGAAAGCGUGGGGAGCAAACAGG